AGGGAAAUCAGCAAACUACAGGAAAGGAAAGACUGAAAAACUCUUGCCCAGAUUGUGAGUCAACAGACUUGUGCCUCUACACACAGAGCUGCAAGACACUCCUGUGGACUAACACUUCUAUUUCUAUGCCACAGACUCACCGGGAUGGAGCUGCUGAAUCAAACAAGAGAGAGAGAACGCAAGCAGGGGGAGUGCGAGAAGCAGGCUUCCCGCCAAGCAGGGAGCCCAACGUGGGACUCGAUCCCAGGACCCUGGGAUCAUGACCUGAGCCGAAGGCAGAUGCUCAACGACUGAGCCACCCAGGCGCCCCAUAUUCUACUCUUGUAUAUGUGACAAAUUCAGGAUAAUUCAACCUAAUUCUGCAAACAUGGAUGGAGCUUUUUGUGUCUAUUCAUUGUGCUUUGCACUAUGGAAAGGCAGAGACAAUUGGUAUAACCUCUGCCCCUAAGUAGCUUCUAAUCUUAUAAAAGCAGAUGGAUAGUCAAUUGUAAAAACAAGCAGAAUAAAAUAAAUUUUAACACAGAUAUAGAAACAAUAUGCUGCCAAAAAAAGAGAAAGAAAAAUGGAUAUUUUAAUUCUUAAUGAGAGAAGGAAUCAAAGGAGGCUGUUUAAUCUUUGAGGAUUACUUGCUUUCCUAGUAAGAAUCAAUAAGAAUAUUGAUUUUUCUGUAAGUCACUGAAGAUGACCAGAACAACUGAGAUUUUAUGUAUUUCAUCUGACAUUUCACUGAUCUCUGUAUUCAUUCAUUUAACAAAUAAAUUUUGAGCAUCUACUAUGUGCCAAAGAUGUCACUUAGAAAGGACAUGAAAAUAAAUCCGAUAAAUAUUAGAAAUUUUGGAAUAGGACAAG